UAGGGAAUUUUCGGCAAUGGGCGCAAGCCUGACCGAGCAACGCCGCGUGAACGAUGAAGGUCUUAUGGAUUGUAAAGUUCUGUUACGAGGGAAGAACAGCACUGAUAGGAAAUGAUCAGUGUGUGACGGUACCUCGCCAGAAAGCCACGGCUAACUACGUGCCAGCAGCCGCGGUAAUACGUAGGUGGCAAGCGUUAUCCGGAAUCAUUGGGCGUAAAGGGUGCGUAGGCGGCUUCUUAAGUUUGUAGUGAAAUCGUAGGGCUCAACUCUAUCUAGCUACAAAAACUGGGAAGCUGGAGUGCGGUAGAGGCUAGUGGAAUUCCUAGUGUAGCGGUAAAAUGCGUAGAUAUUAGGAGGAACACCGGUGGCGAAGGCGACUAGCUGGGCCGUAACUGACGCUGAGGCACGAAAGCGUGGGGAGCAAAUAGG
rnacentral:rRNA from 1 species